rfam:Enterococcus rotai strain LMG 26678 genome.
GGGGACGUUACGGAUUCGACAGGCAUAGUUGAGCUUGAAUCGCGUUUCGUAGGUUACGUCUACGUAAAAACGUUACAGUUAAAUAUAACUGCUAAAAACACAAACAAUACUUUCGCUCUAGCUGCGUAAAAACAGCGGGUGAAGAUCCUCUCGGCAUCGCCCAUGUGCUCGAGUAAGGGUCUCAAAUUAAGUGGGAUACGCUAAAUUUUUCCGUCUGUAAAAUUUAGAAGAGAUCAUCAGACUAGCGAGAGUUUGGGCCUGUUAUGCGGCAUAAGCUUCAGCGAAACCUUAAAAUAGUAUGACUAUGAACGUAGAAGUUUAAGUGACAAUGUGUUUGGACGCGGGUUCGACUCCCGCCGUCUCCAUUU